AUGAACGCUGGCGGCGUGCCUCAUCCCUGCCAGUCGCGCGAACAGACGAGGAGCUUGCUCCUCUGACGUUAGCGGCGGACGGGUGAGUAACACGUGGAUAACCUACCUAUAAGACUGGGAUAACUUCGGGAAACCGGAGCUAAUACCGGAUAAUAUAUUUAACCGCAUGGUUCAAUAGUGAAAGACGGUUUUGCUGUCACUUAUAGAUGGAUCCGCGCCGCAUUAGCUAGUUGGUAAGGUAACGGCUUACCAAGGCAACGAUGCGUAGCCGACCUGAGAGGGUGAUCGGCCACACUGGAACUGAGACACGGUCCAGACUCCUACGGGAGGCAGCAGUAGGGAAUCUUCCGCAAUGGGCGAAAGCCUGACGGAGCAACGCCGCGUGAGUGAUGAAGGUCUUCGGAUCGUAAAACUCUGUUAUUAGGGAAGAACAAAUGUGUAAGUAACUAUGCACGUCUUGACGGUACCUAAUCAGAAAGCCACGGCUAACUACGUG
rnacentral:rRNA from 1 species